UUCUUCCAGUGUAAAGUCUUUAAAAGUUUUGAUUUCAUAUUGACUAUAUCUCAAUCGUUUACUACUUGUACUUUCACAUGAAAAUUGGCAACCUAUACUUCUUCUUCUUUAUUGGCGUAGACACCGUUUACGCGGUUAUGACGGAUGGAACCAUUCACUUGGGAGUGGCCAAAGACGAUUCUUUUACAUAUGGCCCAAGCAACUGGUGACUUCCGGUCUUAGACUAACUAUCCUCUGGAUAGCCAAAAACAUCCGUUUGAAGGGGAGCUAAAGUGAACAGAACUUUCCCUCCCGCAUGGGUUGUACGCUGGGUUUGGGACCGGCCACGUAAAAUACAGCCCCAAUGAAAAGGUCACAACAGCCUCGGAUGAGAGACCCGCUCUUGAUCCAACCUAUAAUAUUUUAUUAUUCAUAAAUAUCUUCAAACUAGUCAAGCAAUGAUAUAUUUAAGGAUUUUCAAAUCGUUUAGAGUGUCAUUGGUCUAAUUCUUUAUACAUAACUAGAAUCCUCUAGGAUCUCUCUUGAUCCAACCUAGAAUAUUUUAUUAUUCAUAAAUAUCUUCAAACUGGUCAAGCAAUAUCUUUAAGGAUUUUCAAAUCGUUUAGAGUGUCAUUAGUCUAAUUCUUUAUACAUAUCUAGAAUAAACGAAAAUUUAGGUAGUGGCUCCCUUCAUAAAAUGAUGAUUAAUAUUACCUUAUACAUAGAUAUGUAAGUAUGUACAUUUAACUUUUUAAUUUUUGUUGGGUAUAAUGAAGUCUAUAAUAGUUUUUAUUUUAAUACAUUCAAAUAAAUAUACUAAUUAUAAGCAUAAAUACAUAUAUUGUUUCCCCUUUAUUUGGGAAUGUACUUUAGUAAACGCAGUUCUUGACUUAACCAAAGAGCAAACGAAAGUAACAGCAGAGAACCAGAUUGAUGAGCUGUAGCAAGAUGUAUGGGGACGUAAGUUAAUAGAGUCGAAACGCCUAAAGUUGCUUGUAACCAUGCCAUUGUCAUAGUGGCGUUUAUAGCAUACGAUACGCGUUUAGGCAAAACACAUUUUCUUGAAUACAUCCAUAGGAGAGAAACGGUGAAUACAGUAGUAAUUCCAAAAAUUCUAUGAUUAAAUUGCACUGUUGUGGGGUUUUCCGUAAAGUUUCUCUGUAUCGGUUGAUAUAAAAAAAUGUCAUCAGGAAUCCACUUAUCACCCAUUUUAUGAAAAGAA